rnacentral:tRNA from 1 species
GGGAAUGUGGCUUAGUGGUAGAGUGCUUGCCUAGCAUGCAUGAAGCCCUGGGUUCGAUUCCUCAGAACCA